UCGUGUUCGAUUAUGGUUGUCGGUAAGGUAACGGCUUACCAAGCCGAUAAUCGAUAGGGGCCGUGAGAGCGGGAGCCCCGAUAUGGGUACUGAGACAACGACCCAGGCCUUACGAGGCGCAGCAGGCGCGAGACCUCCGCAAUACACGAAAGUGUGGCGGGGUUACCCAAAGUGUCCUUUCUAGGACUGUGGUAGGUGAGUAAUGUCCCCUACUAGAAAGGAGAGGGCAAGGCUGGUGCCAGCCGCCGCAGUAAAACCAGCUCUUCAAGUGGUCGGGAUAAUUAUUGGGCUUAAAGCGUCCGUAGCCGGUUUAGUAAGUUCCUGGUAAAAUCGGGUAGCUUAACUAUCUGUAUGCUAUGAAUACUGCUAUACU
rnacentral:rRNA from 1 species